rnacentral:rRNA from 1 species
CGAAAUAUAUAGUAUCUAGGUCUUUUACCCGAAUCCAUACCGAACUCGAGUGUCCUUAUCUAGGUAGCCAUAAAUACUGGGUUAAGCCGGGAAUCAUGGUUUUGGGAAUAUAACUCAAUUGGUAGAGUGUAUG